UAUUGGGCAAUGGGCGCAAGCCUGACCCAGCAACGCCGCGUGAAGGAAGAAGGCCCUCGGGUUGUAAACUUCUUUUAUCAAGGACGAAACAAAUGACGGUACUUGAUGAAUAAGCCCCGGCUAAAUACGUGCACGCAGCCGCGGUAAUACGUAGGUGGCAGGCGUUAUCCGGAUUUACUGGGUGUAAAGGGCGUGUAGGCGGGACUGCAAGUCAGAUGUGAAAACCAUGGGCUCAACCCAUGGCCUGCAUUUGAAACUGUAGUUCUUGAGUGUUGGAGAGGCAGGCGGAAUUCCGUGUGUAGCGGUGAAAUGCGUAGAUAUACGGAGGAACACCAGUGGCGAAGGCGGCCUGCUGGACAAUAACUGACGCUGAGGCGCGAAAGCGUGGGGAGCAAACAGG
rnacentral:rRNA from 1 species